rnacentral:rRNA from 1 species
GGGUGACUGCGUACCUUUUGUAUAAUGGGUCAGCGACUUAUAUUCUGUAGCAAGGUUAACCGUAUAGGGGAGCCGCAGGGAAACCGAGUCUUAACUGGGCGUUAAGUUGCAGGGUAUAGACCCGAAACCCGGUGAUCUAGCCAUGGGCAGGUUGAAGGUUGGGUAACACUAACUGGAGGACCGAACCGACUAAUGUUGAAAAAUUAGCGGAUGACUUGUGGCUGGGGGUGAAAGGCCAAUCAAACCGGGAGAUAGCUGGUUCUCCCCGAAAGCUAUUUAGGUAGCGCCUCGUGAACUCAUCUUCGGGGGUAGAGCACUGUUUCGGCUAGGGGGUCAUCCCGACUUACCAACCCGAUGCAAACUACGAAUACCGAAGAAUGUUAUCACGGGAGACACACGGCGGGUGCUAACGUCCGUCGUGAAGAGGGAAACAACCCAGACCGCCAGCUAAGGUCCCAAAGUCAUGGUUAAGUGGGAAACGAUGUGGGAAGGCCCAGACAGCCAGGAUGUUGGCUUAGAAGCAGCCAUCAUUUAAAGAAAGCGUAAUAGCUCACUGGUCGAGUCGGCCUGCGCGGAAGAUGUAACGGGGCUAAACCAUGCACCGAAGCUGCGGCAGCGACACUAUGUGUUGUUGGGUAGGGGAGCGUUCUGUAAGCCGUUGAAGGUGGCCUGUGAGGGUUGCUGGAGGUAUCAGAAGUGCGAAUGCUGACAUAAGUAACGAUAAUGCGGGUGAAAAACCCGCACGCCGGAAGACCAAGGGUUCCUGUCCAACGUUAAUCGGGGCAGGGUGAGUCGACCCCUAAGGCGAGGCCGAAAGGCGUAGUCGAUGGGAAACAGGUUAAUAUUCCUGUACUCGGUGUUACUGCGAAGGGGGGACGGAGAAGGCUAUGUUGGCCGGGCGACGGUUGUCCCGGUUUAAGCAUGUAGGCGGAUGUUCCAGGUAAAUCCGGAACGUUAUUAACGCUGAGGUGUGAUGACGAGGCACUACGGUGCUGAAGUGACAAAUGCCCUGCUUCCAGGAAAAGCCUCUAAGCAUCAGGUAACAUCAAAUCGUACCCCAAACCGACACAGGUGGUCAGGUAGAGAAUACCAAGGCGCUUGAGAGAACUCGGGUGAAGGAACUAGGCAAAAUGGUGCCGUAACUUCGGGAGAAGGCACGCUGAUGGUAAGUGAAGUGACUUGCUCAUGGAGCUGAAAUCAGUCGAAGAUACCAGCUGGCUGCAACUGUUUAUUAAAAACACAGCACUGUGCAAACACGAAAGUGGACGUAUACGGUGUGACGCCUGCCCGGUGCCGGAAGGUUAAUUGAUGGGGUCAUCCGUAAGGAGAAGCUCUUGAUCGAAGCCCCGGUAAACGGCGGCCGUAACUAUAACGGUCCUAAGGUAGCGAAAUUCCU